GAUUAAGUUAUUAAGGGCGCACGGUGGAUGCCUUGGCACUAGAAGCCGAUGAAGGACGUUACUAACGACGAUAUGCUUUGGGGAGCUGUAAGUAAGCUUUGAUCCAGAGAUUUCCGAAUGGGGAAACCCAGCAUGAGUUAUGUCAUGUUAUCGAUAUGUGAAUACAUAGCAUAUCAGAAGGCACACCCGGAGAACUGAAACAUCUUAGUACCCGGAGGAAGAGAAAGAAAAUUCGAUUCCCUUAGUAGCGGCGAGCGAAACGGGAAGAGCCCAAACCAACAAGCUUGCUUGUUGGGGUUGUAGGACACUCUAUACGGAGUUACAAAGGACGACAUUAGACGAAUCAUCUGGAAAGAUGAAUCAAAGAAGGUAAUAAUCCUGUAGUCGAAAAUGUUGUCUCUCUUGAGUGGAUCCUGAGUACGACGGAGCACGUGAAAUUCCGUCGGAAUCUGGGAGGACCAUCUCCUAAGGCUAAAUACUCUCUAGUGACCGAUAGUGAACCAGUACCGUGAGGGAAAGGUGAAAAGCACCCCGGAAGGGGAGUGAAAUAGAACCUGAAACCGUGUGCUUACAAGUAGUCAGAGCCCGUUAAUGGGUGAUGGCGUGCCUUUUGUAGAAUGAACCGGCGAGUUACGAUUUGAUGCAAGGUUAAGCAGUAAAUGUGGAGCCGUAGCGAAAGCGAGUCUGAAUAGGGCGUUUAGUAUUUGGUCGUAGACCCGAAACCAGGUGAUCUACCCUUGGUCAGGUUGAAGUUCAGGUAACACUGAAUGGAGGACCGAACCGACUUACGUUGAAAAGUGAGCGGAUGAACUGAGGGUAGCGGAGAAAUUCCAAUCGAACCUGGAGAUAGCUGGUUCUCUCCGAAAUAGCUUUAGGGCUAGCCUCAAGUGAUGAUUAUUGGAGGUAGAGCACUGUUUGGACGAGGGGCCCCUCUCGGGUUACCGAAUUCAGACAAACUCCGAAUGCCAAUUAAUUUAACUUGGGAGUCAGAACAUGGGUGAUAAGGUCCGUGUUCGAAAGGGAAACAGCCCAGACCACCAGCUAAGGUCCCAAAAUAUAUGUUAAGUGGAAAAGGAUGUGGCGUUGCCCAGACAACUAGGAUGUUGGCUUAGAAGCAGCCAUCAUUUAAAGAGUGCGUAAUAGCUCACUAGUCGAGUGACACUGCGCCGAAAAUGUACCGGGGCUAAACAUAUUACCGAAGCUGUGGAUUGUCCUUUGGACAAUGGUAGGAGAGCGUUCUAAGGGCGUUGAAGCAUGAUCGUAAGGACAUGUGGAGCGCUUAGAAGUGAGAAUGCCGGUGUGAGUAGCGAAAGACGGGUGAGAAUCCCGUCCACCGAUUGACUAAGGUUUCCAGAGGAAGGCUCGUCCGCUCUGGGUUAGUCGGGUCCUAAGCUGAGGCCGACAGGCGUAGGCGAUGGAUAACAGGUUGAUAUUCCUGUACCACCUAUAAUCGUUUUAAUCGAUGGGGGGACGCAGUAGGAUAGGCGAAGCGUGCGAUUGGAUUGCACGUCUAAGCAGUAAGGCUGAGUAUUAGGCAAAUCCGGUACUCGUUAAGGCUGAGCUGUGAUGGGGAGAAGACAUUGAGUCUUCGAGUCGUUGAUUUCACACUGCCGAGAAAAGCCUCUAGAUAGAAAAUAGGUGCCCGUACCGCAAACCGACACAGGUAGUCAAGAUGAGAAUUCUAAGGUGAGCGAGCGAACUCUCGUUAAGGAACUCGGCAAAAUGACCCCGUAACUUCGGGAGAAGGGGUGCUCUUUAGGGUUAACGCCCAGAAGAGCCGCAGUGAAUAGGCCCAAGCGACUGUUUAUCAAAAACACAGGUCUCUGCUAAACCGUAAGGUGAUGUAUAGGGGCUGACGCCUGCCCGGUGCUGGAAGGUUAAGAGGAGUGGUUAGCUUCUGCGAAGCUACGAAUCGAAGCCCCAGUAAACGGCGGCCGUAACUAUAACGGUCCUAAGGUAGCGAAAUUCCUUGUCGGGUAAGUUCCGACCCGCACGAAAGGCGUAACGAUUUGGGCACUGUCUCAACGAGAGACUCGGUGAAAUCAUAGUACCUGUGAAGAUGCAGGUUACCCGCGACAGGACGGAAAGACCCCGUGGAGCUUUACUGUAGCCUGAUAUUGAAAUUCGGCACAGCUUGUACAGGAUAGGUAGGAGCCUUUGAAACGUGAGCGCUAGCUUACGUGGAGGCGCUGGUGGGAUACUACCCUAGCUGUGUUGGCUUUCUAACCCGCACCACUUA
rnacentral:rRNA from 1 species